rnacentral:rRNA from 1 species
UACGUAGGGUGCAAGCGUUUAAUCGGAAUUACUGGGCGUAAAGCGUGCGCAGGCGGUUAUGUAAGACAGUUGUGAAAUCCCCGGGCUCAACCUGGGAAUUGCAUCUGUGACUGCAUAGCUAGAGUACGGUAGAGGGGGAUGGAAUUCCGCGUGUAGCAGUGAAAUGCGUAGAUAUGCGGAGGAACACCGAUGGCGAAGGCAAUCCCCUGGACCUGUACUGACGCUCAUGCACGAAAGCGUGGGGAGCAAACAGG